rnacentral:rRNA from 1 species
UACGGAGGGUGCGAGCGUUGUCCGGAAUCACUGGGCGUAAAGGGCGCGUAGGCGGCGCGGGUAGUCAUCGGUGAAAGUUCAGGGCUCAACUCUGAAUCGGCCGGUGAUACUCCCGUGCUCGAGCACUGUAGAGGCAGGUGGAAUUCCGGGUGUAGCGGUGGAAUGCGUAGAGAUCCGGAAGAACACCGGUGGCGAAGGCGGCUCUCUGGAACGCAACUGACGCUGAGACGCGAAAGCGUGGGGAGCAAACAGG